UACGUAGGGUGCAAGCGUUGUCCGGAAUUAUUGGGCGUAAAGAGCUCGUAGGCGGUUUGUCGCGUCGAAUGUGAAAACCCGGGACUCAACUCCGGGCCUGCAUUCGAUACGGGCAGACUGGAGUUCGGUAGGGGAGACUGGAAUUCCUGGUGUAGCGGUGAAAUGCGUAGAGAUCGGGAGGAAUACCCGUGGCGAAGGCGGCCUGCUGGGAUACACCUGACGCUGAGACACGAAGGCGUGGGGAGCGAACGGG
rnacentral:rRNA from 1 species